rnacentral:rRNA from 1 species
UACGGAGGGUGCAAGCGUUAUCCGGAUUCACUGGGUUUAAAGGGUGCGUAGGCGGGGAAGUAAGUCCGCGGUGAAAUCUCUGAGCUUAACUCAGAAACUGCCGUGGAUACUAUUUGCCUUGAAUAUUGUGGAGGUGAGCGGAAUAUGUCAUGUAGCGGUGAAAUGCUUAGAUAUGACAUAGAACACCAAUUGCGAAGGCAGCUCACUACACAAUCAUUGACGCUGAGGCACGAAAGCGUGGGGAUCAAACAGG